GGCGAUGGGGGUGUUGGCGAUGGUGGGGGUGGGGGAGGAGAAGGUGGCGGCGGUGGCGGAUCGGUUGGAGUGGGUGCGGUGGCUUGGGAGGGCAGUGGCGCGCGCGCCGAGCUCACCAUCAUUAAUCGCCUCCGCCACAUGCACCUCGCCUCGUCGGGCGAGAUGCGCGCGGCGGGUGCCACUGCCUUCCCCAGCCGCCGCACCCACUCCGGCCAAUCCGCCACCACCGACGCCUCCAGAGCCGGCGGGUGGGUGGUGCUCCUGCAGGAAGAAGAAGAAGAAGAAGAAGAAGAAGAAGAAA